rnacentral:rRNA from 1 species
UAGGGAAUCUUCCGCAAUGGGCGAAAGCCUGACGGAGCAACGCCGCGUGAGUGAUGAAGGUCUUCGGAUCGUAAAACUCUGUUAUUAGGGAAGAACAAAUGUGUAAGUAACUAUGCACGUCUUGACGGUACCUAAUCAGAAAGCCACGGCUAACUACGUGCCAGCAGCCGCGGUAAUACGUAGGUGGCAAGCGUUAUCCGGAAUUAUUGGGCGUAAAGCGCGCGUAGGCGGUUUUUUAAGUCUGGUGUGAAAGCCCACGGCUCAACCGUGGGGGGUCAUUGGAAACUGGAAAACUUGAGUGCAGAAGAGGAAAGUGGAAUUCCAUGGGUAGCGGUGAAAUGGGCAGAGAUAUGGAGGAACACCAGUGGCGAAGGCGACUUUCUGGUCUGUAACUGACGCUGAUGUGCGAAAGCGUGGGGAUCAAGCAGG